CCUACGGGUGGCUGCAGUGGGGAAUAUUGGACAAUGGGGGGAACCCUGAUCCAGCCAUGCCGCGUGUGUGAAGAAGGCCCUCGGGUUGUAAAGCACUUUCAGUGAGGAAGAACGCCUGGUGGUUAAUACCCAUCAGGAAAGACAUCACUCACAGAAGAAGCACCGGCUAACUCCGUGCCAGCAGCCGCGGUAAUACGGAGGGUGCGAGCGUUAAUCGGAAUUACUGGGCGUAAAGCGCGCGUAGGUGGCUUGAUAAGCCGGUUGUGAAAGCCCCGGGCUCAACCUGGGAACGGCAUCCGGAACUGUCAAGCUAGAGUGCAGGAGAGGAAGGUAGAAUUCCCGGUGUAGCGGUGAAAUGCGUAGAGAUCGGGAGGAAUACCAGUGGCGAAGGCGGCCUUCUGGACUGACACUGACACUGAGGUGCGAAAGCGUGGGUAGCAAACUGGAUUAGAUACCCCUGUAGUC
rnacentral:rRNA from 1 species